rnacentral:rRNA from 1 species
GAUGAACGCUGGCGGCGUGCCUAAUACAUGCAAGUCGAGCGAACGGACGAGAAGCUUGCUUCUCUGAUGUUAGCGGCGGACGGGUGAGUAACACGUGGAUAACCUACCUAUAAGACUGGGAUAACUUCGGGAAACCGGAGCUAAUACCGGAUGAUAUUUUGAACCGCAUGGUUCAAAAGUGAAAGACGGUCUUGCUGUCACUUAUAGAUGGAUCCGCGCUGCAUUAGCUAGUUGGUAAGGUAACGGCUUACCAAGGCAACGAUGCAUAGCCGACCUGAGAGGGUGAUCGGCCACACUGGAACUGAGACACGGUCCAGACACCUACGGGAGGCAGCAGUAGGGAAUCUUACGCAAUGGGGGAAAGCCUGACGGAGCAACGCCGCGUGAGUGAUGAAGGUCUUCGGAUCGUAAAACUCUGUUAUUAGGGAAGAACAUAUGUGUAAGUAACUGUGAACAUCUUGACGGUACCUAGUCAGAAAGCCACGGCUAACUCCGUG